CCGUUUGGUUCCUAUUCCUUGCAGUGGGGUGUUUGUUCUUUUACUCUGCACUAUUUUGCAAUAAAUGUUGUUAUUGCUCACUCUGGGUUUAUAUUGCCUUUAUGAGCUGUAACACUCACCACGAAGGUCUGCAGCUUUACUCUUGAAACUAGUGAGACUAGGAACCCACUGGAAAGAAGAACAACUCCAGACGCGCCGCCUUAAGAGCUGUAACACUCACUGCGAAGGUCUGCAGCUUCACUCUUGAGCUAGCGAGACCACUAACCCACCAGAAGGAAGAAACUCCAGACACGCCGCCUUUAAGAACUGUAACACUCACUGCGAGGGUCCAUGGCUUCGUUCUUGAGAAAGACAACGAGGAGGGGAGCAGCUAGAGGGAUGGAAAUGGGAUCACAUGACCUUGCGAGAAACAGGGAGAGAGAACGCUGCGUCUGCUCCCUUUUAGAACAGCUCAAUAUAGGGAAUCCCUAACAGAGGACUUCCAGGAUAUCCUAGGGACAGCAGAGCCUCAAGAUCCAGGGAGGAUCCUGGAUACCUGAGUCACCACUUGGAGGGGAAUCUCCUGGAAGAACUGAUUGAUCAGCAACAUCUACAUUCAACUUGAGGUGAGUGAGAAAUAAACCACUGAGCAGUUUUAUUAAACCACCAAGAUUUUUGGGCCAGUUGCUAGCUUUAAUUACCCUAAUUACUACAGUCAGUAGGCUCAACUGGUGCUCAGUGUUGCUCCUACUCCCCCUUUCUGUGUCAAAUUACCCUAGAGAACAAUCGAACUUCGCAUCUUAACCAUUACCAAAUCAGAUUGUCUUGGUGAUUUUAGCCUGUGCUGGGCUCUGUAAGAAGAGGGGUGCCAUGUCUGGGUCUGGAACAGACUGCUCCAUGGUUGAUCAUUUUUAUUGUAUUUAUUAAUUCUUUUGUCCAUUCAUUCACUUAUUCCUUUAUUAGCUCAGCCUAGUGUGCCGAUUGAGCACUAGAGGUGGCAUAGUUCUCUGCUGGUUUUUUUGCCCAGCUCUGUGGACCAGUGGGCCACACUCCCCAACACAGGUGUGGUUGUGGCACCUCUCAACACACCUUUUCCAGUUUACAGUUGGACACCAUGCAGGGUGUAGGGCAGUAAAACAUCAGAAACCACACCAGUUAUUUUAACAGAGAGAAUUUAAUAGAAGGACUUGGAGUAUUGGAGAACUGCAAAAGUUCUGUGAUACUUAUGAAGCAAUCAUAAAGGUAGCAACUGCAGGAAGCAGCCACCAUCCCUAGGGCUGAGGGAACAAGGGAAGAGAUUGGGAUUAUUGGAAUUUAAAAGCUUGGUGGAGAGGCCACUAGGAGCUGAAACUCAGAGCUCUUCAGGGAUGGGGCAGGUGCCAGUUGCUGCUGGGAUUUCUGAGAGGGCACAAUAAGGCACCUUCUGUUCUGAAGUGUGGGACAAGCACAUUGCAAACUAGGACCAACUACUGACAAUGGAACCAGCUCUACCACCAGAUUGAAGACCCAUCACCAGAGAGGGACAGGAAGCAAAGGGAAAGUAACAAGUCCUUCUCCCUCUUCUUGCCUGUCUCCUGAGUGCCCCCUACUGGCAGGAGCUAACUGGGUGCAUCAGGAGAAGCACAACCAUGGUUUGCAGAGUAUGACUGGGAGGUUUGGAGGUAAGAGUCAGCAGUUUAAGAACCAGCACAGAAAGUUCUUAGCUUGGAUCUCCUGAUAGGUUUGCCGCGAGGGCCCUUCUUGGAGUCUGAGAUCCUAGGAAACAGCUCUUGUCCACAGCCUCCCAGCCAGUCGCAGGGCUGACUUCUUGGUCACACACUGAUACCUGAACCCUGGUUUCCAGGUCCUAGAGAGACUCAUGUAGACAGGCACCAGACUUCUCAUGUGUGGUCUGUACUGUAGGCUCAGAAGGAGGAAUUUUGUGUCAUUGGCUAUUCAAGGUCAGCUGCAGAUUGAUGCUGGGGUGCAGGGAUAAGAUCAGCCCUGUGGAUCCUCCCCCUAAGAGGAGCAGCUGGAGGACUGCAGCUCCUCCUGGAUUUUCCCAGGAAGGCAGCCAUUACCUCUCAGUGUUCUGGCAAAGAGGACUGCAGUCCUUUCAUUUAUUGCCACGUGACCUUGAGCGAGUGAAUUACCCUCUCCAAGUCUUGAUUUCUUCCUCUGAAAAAUUCCCUCCGAGGGUUGUUAUGCAGAUUAGGGCUAAUGUAUAUAAAAUACAGUGCCUGGCACAUGGUAGAUACUCCGUAAGUGGCAGGAAUUGUUAUUUAUCAGAGUGGGGGAUGACAGAAGCAGCCUUUGCCCUUGAGGCCUCUGUGGGAUGGCAUCAAUUCUCCGUGGUUGGUGAAGGGGUCCCAGGGAGCAGAAGCAUGGGCAGAGAGAGGGCACCUCAGUGCUAGACAGUCCUGAGCCCUCCCCCAGGGGUAAGCCUUGGCCCAGAAGCCCUGGAGGGGCCAGACCCACAGGGAGAAGGCUGCCCCACCCUGAUGGGGCACUUGGAGGCCCAGGGCAAAGGAAACUGCCCUGUCUAGUGGGCGCCUGCCUUCCAGCCUGUGAGGGCCACAGGACAGCUCCUGCAGUGGUCCAGGGGAGGCGUGUGGAGAUGCCUGAGCUGCAUGCACAGUUUCCAGAGCCUGCUGCUGUGGAAGUUUGGAUGUGAGCGAGUGGGUGUAAAGAAUGUCAAGCAAGAUUCGAUUACAAUUUUUAUUUUGGAAAAACCUUCAUCAAAAUAUGUAUAUCUAAUUAGGACAAUUACAGCACAGGAACAAAAAACUGAUUAAAAAUCAGACACUCCAUAAAUUACAAGUGUUUUGCUCCAGCUGGGGCACAUCUCCGGCUGCUGAGCUGCAAGGCCAAUCAAUGGAGCUGGGGCUCUGGGAGCAGGAGUGGGAGGUGGUGACACCCACGACAAGACAUGGAAGGGGCUGCUGAGUGCAGGCUGCAGGGGACAGGGAGGCAGCUCAAUCUGCUCAGGGCCAGAAAAAGUGGCAGUGCCCUCUCCGAGCAGGGGCCUCUGUCAGUGGGGUCUGGGGAGAUGUGGACAUGCCUAUAUGGGACAAGUGUGUGUGUGUGUGCGUGUCUGUGUGCACUUUGCUGAUCUGAGUGGCAGAUCAUGUAUGUGCACAUGUGUCUGUCAGCAUAUGAACAUCUGUGCAAACAUCUGUGGCACUGCAAGAGGAUGCAAAUGCCUGAGCAGAAGCAAAAUGCACAGCAGCAUCUGGAGCCUGCGCCAGAGGCAGGCUGUGUGCAGAGGGACAGCGGGCAGCGAGCAUGUCAUAUGUGCCCUGGGUGCUACGUGCAUGCUGGCCUGGGUGUGAUGUGUGUGCAGGGGAUGGGGCACAGUGUGUCACAGGCAGGCGGAGCUGCCCUUUGAAGACAUCACAAAAUGAGGUCGUGUCCAUGAAUACAGCUGCCCUUUAUCGAGUGGUUUCUGUGUACCAGGCAUUGUGCUAAAUCCUUGCCUUAAACCCGCUCAGCAACACUAAAAGGUAGAUGUGGUAGGCAGAAUUAUACUCCCUUCUCCCAAAAGAUAGGCACAUCCUAAUUCCUGGAGCCCUACAUGGCAAAAGGGACUUUGAAGAUGUAAUUAAGUUAAGGAUUUGGGGCUGGGGGGUUUAUUAUUAUCAUAACUUGGGUGUGCCUUUAAAGUGGAAGAGGAGGUCAGAGAAGGAGAUGUGAUGACAGGAUGGUCAGAGAGAUGCUGUGCUGCAGGCUUGGCAGACAGAGGUAAGGGACCAUGCGCCAAGGAAUGUGAGCAGCCUCUAGAAGCUGGAAAAAGCAGGGGAAAUGAUUCCCCCCGAAGCCUCCAGAAGGAACGCAGACCUGCUGACGCCUUGCUUUUAGCCCCGUGAGACCCAUGGCGGACUUCUAACCUAUGGAAUUGUAAGAUCAUAAAUGUGUGUUGUUUCAAGCCAUUAAAUUUGUGACAACAUGUUACAGCAGC